CCUACGGGUGGCAGCAGUGGGGGAUAUUGCACAAUGGGGGGAACCCUGAUGCAGCGACGCCGCGUGGGUGAAGAAGCGCCUCGGCGCGUAAAGCCCUGUCAGCAGGGAAGAAAAUGACGGUACCUGUAGCAGAAUCCCCGGCCAACUACGUGCCAGCAGGCGCGGUAAUACGGAGGGGGCAAGCGUGAUCCGGAUUUACUGGGGGUAAAGGGGGCGCAGAUGGCGGUGCAAGCCAGGGGUGAAAGCCCGGGGCCCAACCCCGGGACUGCUCUUGAAACUGAGUGGCUGGAGUGCAGGAGAGGCAGGCGGAAUUCCUGGUGUAGCGGUGAAAUGCGUAGAUAUCAGGAGGAACACCGGUGGCGAAGGCGGCCUGCUGGACUGCGACUGACGUUGAGGCCCGAAAGCGUGGGGAGCAAACAGGAUUAGAUACCCGGGUAGUC
rnacentral:rRNA from 1 species